UACAGAGGUCUCAAGCGUUGUUCGGAUUCAUUGGGCGUAAAGGGUGCGUAGGCGGCGCGGUAAGUCGGGUGUGAAAUCUUGGAGCUUAACUCCGAAACUGCAUUCGAUACUGCCGGGCUAGAGUCCGGAAGAGGCGAGUGGAACUCCUGGUGUAGCGGUGGAAUGCGCAGAUAUCAGGAAGAACACCCGUGGCGAAGGCGGCUCUCUGGGGCGGUACUGACGCUGAGACGCGAAAGCGUGGGGAGCGAACAGG
rnacentral:rRNA from 1 species